CGCAGCUGAGGUCCCGCAGCCGCGGCCGGGGGAGCCGGGGCCUCCUUGUGGCUCCGAGGCUCGGCGACGCACGCCCCCUCUCGUGCUCCGCCCCGCGCGCUGUCUCGGGCCCUAGCCGUCCUCGGCAGCCGCGCCUCCCACCGCUUCCUCACCCCGGGGCGUAAUCUCUAAUCCACCCUGACCUCAGGCCUCGGCCUGCGCCCAGGCCAGUGGUCCGCCCUUCCAGAGCACUCCGGGACGGGGCGGGGUGGAGGUGGCAGAACAGACUGCGCUUGCGACGCGAUUCCGCACGGGUUUGUUUCCUGACCUUGAUCACGUCCCCGCCUUAACCUCCUCAAAGUUACAACUGGGAUAAUCUUUGCCGGACUCGCCCGCCGGGUGGUGGGGUAAUAGAUUGAGGCGGGGAGGCAGAGAGACUGUCAACUAUCCCGCUGUGUGCCUGUUCACAGCCCGCCCCAGAUAUUUGGAGGUGGAGGUUGAGGUAUUAAGGCCCUGGCCUGCGGCCUCCGGGAGGAACUGGGCUCGUGGACGUUUAGGCUCCUUGGGGCCCGCAGCGCUUCCGGAAGGCGGGCGGGCGCGGCCGGAGCGCCGGGUUGGGGCACAGGGCGCCCUUGGCAACGUUGGCCGCAUUGCCCCAUCCCGGCCCGAAGCAGAGCUGCCGGGCCCGGCACGUCCCGCAGACUCAGGUUUGGCCCCGCGCCCCGUACUCGGCUCCGGGCUGACCCCUCCACCUCGUCGCGGCGGUGGGCAGCAGCCAUGGGACUCCGCAACCCGCGGCAGGAGCCGAGCGUCGGCCUCCGCAACCUGGGCUGAAAAGGAAGCCGUGUGCGUUGUCCUGAAGCGCAGACGCGAUGGAGACCACCCAGAGCUGCGCAGGAGAUCCAGCCUCAGAGAAGGCAUUGGUUUCUGACUUUGCCAAACCCAGGCGGAGAGUCUCUCCAGGAAAAAAUCAACUUUUUCUCCCAGAAGUCUCCCAACCUUUCACAAAAAUAUAAAACCAUCUGGAAAAUGAAGCAUCUACCUGGACGGAGGGACACAGUUGAAAAUAAAAGAUUUGUUAGCAAUAGAAUUCAAAGGAUGAAAGAAUCUGUGUGAUGCUACAGAUGAAAGCUCUACCCAGAGCCAUAUAUUCAAGGGCAAAGAUCAUGUUUUAUAAUGAGAAGCAGCAUGAUAUGAUGGAAGGAGGUGAAGUUUUGCAGUUAAACAGAUUGUCCCAUCUUAUGGACAGUGAAACUGAGAAUCAGAUGAAGUAACUUGUCCAGUCAUACUGCUGUUAAGUGAUGGAGUCUGGAUGAGAAUCCAGGGCAUAUAGCCAGAUGACUAUAUACCAGAGUGUCUUAUACCAAGGUGCAGCCAGAUGACUGAGUUCUCAUCAAUGGAAGGAAAAGUGGUGAUAUGUAGCGUUUCUGAGCUUGGUGCAUAAAAAAUCUCCCAUGAUAGGCUAUGCUCUUUUCCUUCACAUGAAUUGAUGCAGAGGGAUAUGGCAACAUUAGAAAUUGUAUGUUGAAGCUGGUGGAGCCACAAUAUGGAAGGAGCCUAGGACCCUGAAUCAGUGCCCAGAGGCGAGCCCCAGUUAAUCAGGAACACUCAUUUUGACGGUAAUGAGUGAGAAAUAAGUGUUGGAGCCAUUAUAAGCUUUGCUGUUUUUUUUAAAUAGUAGAAAACAAUACUUUAAUAUUCUAAUUAGUAUCUAAUAUAGAAUUUAUUUUCUUUCAUAAUUUAUUAUAUAUUAACAUUAGAAGUGCUGCUUGUCAGCUUUCAAUGAUGUCAUUGCAAAUGCAUGCAAUAGUGCACAGUGAAUAAAUGUUUAUCUGUUUGACCACA